UACGAAGGGGGGCUAGCGUUGUUCGGAAUUACUGGGCGUAAAGCGCGCGCAGGCGGUCUUCCAAGUCAGUGGUGAAAGCCCGGAGCUCAACUCCGGAACUGCCAUUGAAACUGUUAGACUUGAGGACGAGAGAGGUGAGUGGAAUUCCCAGUGUAGCGGUGAAAUGCGCAGAUAUCGGGAGGAACACCAAUGGCGAAGGCAGCUCGCUGGGACGUUACUGACGCUGAGACGCGAAAGCGUGGGGAGCAAACAGGG
rnacentral:rRNA from 1 species